rnacentral:rRNA from 1 species
UGAAGAGCUUGCUCUUUAUCGAAUCCAGUGGCAAACGGGUGAGUAACACGUAAACAACCUGCCUUCAGGAUGGGGACAACAGACGGAAACGACUGCUAAUACCGAAUACGUUCCACGGGCCGCAUGACCUGUGGAAGAAAGGGUAGCCUCUACCUGUAAGCUAUCGCCUGAAGAGGGGUUUGCGUCUGAUUAGGCAGUUGGUGGGGUAACGGCCCACCAAACCAACGAUCAGUAGCCGGUCUGAGAGGAUGAACGGCCACACUGGAACUGAGACACGGUCCAGACUCCUACGGGAGGCAGCAGUGGGAAAUCUUCCGCAAUGGACGAAAGUCUGACGGAGCAACGCCGCGUGAGUGAAGACGGCCUUCGGGUUGUAAAGCUCUGUGAUCCGGGACGAAAGAGCCUGAGGUGAAUAGCCUUAGGAAGUGACGGUACCGGAAAAGCAAGCCACGGCUAACUACGUGCCAGCAGCCGCGGUAAUACGUAGGUGGCAAGCGUUGUCCGGAAUUAUUGGGCGUAAAGCGCGCGCAGGCGGCUUCCUAAGUCCAUCUUAAAAGUGCGGGGCUUAACCCCGUGAUGGGAUGGAAACUGGGAAGCUGGAGUAUCGGAGAGGAAAGUGGAAUUCCUAGUGUAGCGGUGAAAUGCGUAGAGAUUAGGAAGAACACCGGUGGCGAAGGCGACUUUCUGGACGAAAACUGACGCUGAGGCGCGAAAGCGUGGGGAGCAAACAGGAUUA